GCAAGUAGUGGGAUCAAGGGGUUUGUGGGAUCCAUAUGAAAGAAAAGAGAAAAUCUUUGAUUCUUUUCGAUUUUCUCUUCUCUUUCAUACAGAUCCCACGAACCCCUUGAUGCCACUACUCCAU